ACUUGUCAGUGCAGUGAGACUCACACAGCCUCAGUUCUCUGUUUGCCGUCUCCUUUGCCUUUCUGCUGUGCAGUGUGUUUUUGAAACUCGGCCUCCCGCUCUCACCCUCCCUCCCUCGCCGUCUCACCCUCUUCUUCUGCACACCUGCUGAGUAGCUGCACGACAUUGGAAACAUUCCACAACAGGGUCAAAACACGUUUAUCUUUGACUUUUGGAUGUGGAUUCAGAAACUCUCUCAGGAAUAAAGGGACAUUACGCAGCUGGUCAGAACCCGGGUCGUGGAUCACAUCAUCUCUGCUGCUGCUGUGUCCACAACUUCCUUUAGUCACAGCAGAGAAGAAGAGAACACAGUGAGCUGGUCUGGAGCAGCAACAUAAAAGCAAACGUAGGAGUGAGAAAAAGCAGAGCAGGGGAUUUUCAUCACUAAAAAAAGGUUUCAGGGAAAUUUCUGUUGGUUUUAAGGACAUUUUUGUCAAACUCCCUUUUAUUAAACUCAGCUGUAGCUUCUCAGAACCAACCUGUAGCUUCUCUGACGAGCUGGACAUUUGAGCUGUUGGCUUCUUAGUUUUCUUAGUUUUAUUCCUCUUAAUGUGUUUAACAUUUAGUAUAAACAGAGAAAGCAUUAGGGAGACGUGUCAGAAAUGUUAAGAUUUGGAGAAUGAAGUCUUAAACAUAUAAGAUUAACAAGAUGAAUGUUUAGAUCAGAUCAGAUUGGAUCGGAUUGACUGAAAUAUAUUGAUUCCACGCUGAGGAAAUUGUUGUGUUUUAGUAACACAGAAGUAAAGACUAUACUAUAUAUGCCUGUUAUAAAAGUUUUAAUAAAAAAAAGAGUUGAAGAGAAUAACAAGAAUAACAAUUACGAGACUGAAUUCAAAAUUGUACAAGGAAAAUAGAAGCAUUAUCAGAAUAACAGGUCAAAAAUUCAGAAGAAACAAAUGUCCAAAAAUGUGUUAAAAGUCCUAAUUUUUCACAUAAACUCACAACUUUAUUCUCGUGGGAUUUUUCUUUGACUAUUUUUUUUCAUAAAUCUACUACUUUUUUGUAGUAGAUUUUUUUGUAGACUUUUCCAGCUUGUUCUUCAGCUCACCGCUGGUGGAUGAACGGUGCUCAGGUUUUAACAAAGAUAAAUUGAAGAGUUUUUGGUUCCUGGUCUCUGUUCCAACCCUGUCAGAAUUCCUAGGAAACAAUUGUUGUUUGUUGUCUCCUUUCUGGUUGAAUGUAUGUUCACAGAGACACAAAUAUAAACUCAGAGUUUUACUGCAGUGCUGUUUAUAUUUGUGGGUUUUUUUCUUCUUCUUCUUCUUUUCAUCUUUAAAACUCUGUGUUUGUUUUCCCCUAAAACAAUUGCACAACCCAGUCAAAUGACAACUUCCCUUUUUGGGCCGUGAAGUUUUUCCUCAUUACAUGUUGUUUAUACACAUGAGUCAUUGUGGCUUCGCUCUGAAAAUGACAGAAAUUCUCCUUUGAAAUGUGCCCUGUUUUGUAAUUGCAGCUUCUGAUUUAGUACGAGAUAGUUUGGAUGGGGGGGCUGUCAAAGAGUGUGAGGCACAAGUUGAAAAGUCUAUGACUCACACCAAAACCACCGGAGUCUACACAAGUACUCAUUAAGUUCCCUUCAAAAUUCGAGCUAUGCUGUUGUUGUUGUCAAGUUUGUAGACUUUGAACCUGCUGUAGGUCCGUGAAGGAAACGGUCCGGACGGACGGAGGAACGGCAGCAGAACGGCCGCAGGUGUGUGUCAGAACCAUGUCGAGAACACUGCACACGCAUGUGAUGUGUGUGAAGAACCAUAAGAAAAUGACAUCAUCAACAUGAACGUUACAUGACAUUUUCAUGACUUAUAACAUGAGCACAGAUGAUUGACAAAGGAAAA